UACGUAGGGCGCAAGCGUUGUCCGGAAUUAUUGGGCGUAAAGAGCGCGCAGGCGGUCGUUCAAGUCGCGUGUGAAAGCCCCCGGCUCAACUGGGGAGGGUCACGCGAUACUGAUCGACUCGAAGGCAGGAGAGGGAAGUGGAAUUCCCGGUGUAGUGGUGAAAUGCGUAGAUAUCGGGAGGAACACCAGUGGCGAAGGCGACUUCCUGGCCUGUUCUUGACGCUGAGGCGCGAAAGCUAGGGUAGCAAACGGG
rnacentral:rRNA from 1 species